AUGGCGGCCGCCGUCCAUGUCCAUGUCCACCUCCACCACCAUUACCACAUCCCCCUCCUCUGUCCGCCGCCUCGCCGGACCGGCCUCUUCUUGUCGCCGUGGCGCGCUCUCUCUCUCCCGCUCCCGCUUCCGCCCGCCCGCCUCCGAUCCUCCUUCCCCGCCCCCACCUCCCACCCGGCCGUCGCCGGCACAGAUGAGUGGGAGGCCAAGGCGGAGUUCGUGGUGGUCACGUUCUACAAGCUGGUGCCCGUGGAGGACCCCCGCGCCGAGGUCGCCGCGCACCUCCACUUCCUCCAGGGACGCGACAUAGACAUACAGGGUCGCAUCUACAUGAACCAGCAGGGGAUCAACGCUCAGUACAGUGGUCCGCGCAAAGAUGCAAUGGCGUACGCUGAUUGGGUCAGGAAAGAUCGGCGUUUCUCUGAUAUACUCAUCCAAAUUUCGCCAGCGUUAAGCGGGCAUGCUUUUCCUCGGCUCAAACUGCGCUACAAACAAUCUCUUGUUCAGUUGGAAGGAGGGAGUUGUCAUCUUCCUUUGGUGGAACCUAGCAUGCGUGCUUCACCACUGACCCCAUCCGAGUGGAGGGAGAAGCUUGAAGCUAGGAAACGCCUUGAAACCGGAGCACCUGGAGAUACCUCUGAAGGACGAAAGCUUUUGCUCCUUGACGUUAGGAAUGACUAUGAAUGGGACAUUGGACAUUUUGAAGGAGCCAAGAGGCCUAACGUGGACUGCUUCAGAAGCACUUCAUUUGGGCUGUCAAACUCAGAGCAGGAGAUGGAUUCGACGGACCCUCUGCAUGGAGUAGACAAAGAGAACACAGACAUAUUAAUGUACUGCACGGGUGGCAUAAGAUGCGACGUCUACUCAACGAUCUUGAGGGAGAAGGGUUUCGGGAACCUGUACACUCUGAAGGGGGGCGUGUCCAACUACCUCAAGAGCCAAGGGAGCGCUGAGUGGGUGGGUAACCUGUUUGUGUUCGACGACCGGCUCUCCCUGCCACCGGCCAAGUUUGCAGAGGCAGAAGUCGCAGCAGAAGAAGGGGGUGCCGACAACGGGGAUCUGUCAUCGUCUCGGUGGCUGGGGCGGUGCUACGUGUGCGGGUCGGAGGUGGAGGAGCUGAGGCACCGCAACUGCGCCAGCAUCGACUGCAACCGCCUCUACCUGUGCUGCGGUGGGUGCUUGGAGGAGCUAAGGGGCUGCUGCUGCUCGGAGUGCAGGCGCGCGCCACGGUUGCGGCCGCUGCUGCCGGGGCACCAGAGAUACGACAAGUGGCAUCUGUACCGCGAUGACGCCUCGACCAUCUCUAGCUGA
rnacentral:rRNA from 1 species